GAAAUCACUUGAACUGAGUAAUUUGAGAUUACAUCCCAGGUUACCUGAGUCAGGGGAGAGCCACACCCUGGUGUAAACAGACCAGUGGGAAGCCAUGGUAUAGUGGUUUCUUCCCUGUCCCAUGGAAGCCAAUGGCCCUACAGGAAAAGAACAUUGAAACUUCACUCCUGAGGGUUCGCAGGGCUUUUUCUGAGCCUCUGUAUUCCCCAGAUGCACGCCAUCCUUCGUCUAUAUUAAGCAGAAGUAGAUAAUGCAGCCCGUUUGCGGCUCCUGUGUGUGUAAAUAUUGUGAUUCCGGUGUACAGUGAUGGCUGCCGAGCAACAGGCUUCUCUUUGACUUCUGCUUACAAUCUCCUGGCUGACUGAAUUUUGUGACAGUAGCUGAUGUGGCGUAGCAUCAACAAGCCAGCGCAGUCUUGGGAUGGGAAUGCAAGUGAUUUCCUUUCUCAAUCAAGUAUUGUUGGAUCUGUCCUGAGCAGAGAACGGGAAGAGACAGAGUGGCUGUUGACAAGGACCGCCCGUAUGAAAAUGAACUGUUUUGGUUUUGAGAGAAGGUCCUGUUCUGUAGCCCAGACCGGUCUUGAACUUGUUGUAUAGGCUAAACUGACUUUGGAUUGGUGGUGGUCUUCUUGCCAUCCUCCAACUGCUGACAUUCCAAGCAAGUGUUCCCAUCAUCUGCCAUGCCAGAUAAAAUCCCCUGUGCAGUGCUGGGAUCACUCCAGGACGAGAAGAAGAUGGAGCAGGUUGUGCCUGGGGCUGGAUUCUAAGCACUGACUAGGGAAGAUUGUAAGGAACCUAAAGUGGAUAAGGGAGGACUGCAGUAAGGGACUUGUCACCUGUGUAUAUUUAAUCAUUUUGCCCUGGCUCAGCAAGUCAUCCCUCCGUCCCCAUCCGAUCCUCUGGUUUGGGGCAUUGCCUUAUGAAGGUGUACGGUUUCACGCAUCACAACUCUCCUCCAUGACAAUAAAUGCUUUAAAACAUGGACUGCCUCUUCUCAUCAGGAUCCGCAGGGCUGGAGCAAUGGAGCAGGUCUUCCUCUAAAGAGCUGUGUCUAAUCUCACACAGGACGACUCCUUGUGCUCUCAGCCACAGUUUCCAUCGAGUCAAGCUGUCUGCCCAAGCAAGCCAAAGACUCUCGUCCCCGUGGGACACAGCCCGACGCCCACAGGGUGCGCAGUCAAAACUUCCUGCAACCCGCCUCACCUAGUAGCCCAAGCCCUGGGCCAGACGCAGGACACCAUUUUAACCCACUGGUAUGUAUGCAUGUGAGUUCUGGUAGAAGCCAGAAUGUCAUUCCUCAAGCGCACCUUGGUUUUAAGACUGGGCCUCUCACAUAACGUAAUGGAUGGCAGGUCCAUUUUCUUGCUCCAACUAUGAUUCUGAAACAUUUUGCAGUAUGAAGGAGUUGGGGUGUGUGUGUGUGUGUGUGUGUGUGUGUGUGUGACCAGUUUCCCAGCCUCAGCACUAUCGACAUUCUGAACUGUACCUUCCCUAGGCAGGUAUUCCCGGCUUGUUUAAGGGCAAACUAAACAAGCCUUGGGGAUUGAGUCUGUAAUCUGCAUAAUCUGCAUCCUAUGGUCUCUGCCUUGGCUCCUGAGCCCAUGCUUGCUCAUGCUUUGAGCUCCUGCCCUGACUUCCCUUCACGAAGAGCUCUCCAAGUUGUUUUAGCUCACAGUGUUUAUACCGGCCACAGAAAGCAAGCUAGGACAAUUGUUCUCCACUUUAUUCCCUCGGGGUGGGAUCUGCCACUGACCGUGGGGUAGGCUAGUGUCCAUCCUCAGCGGGCAGCAGACACCCUCCUGUCUCACACAGUGCUGGGGUUAGAGGUGCAGCCUGCUCACUUUGUUCCUCCGCCCCCCCAGGCUGUGGCUUAAGCUCAGGUCCCACGCUUGUUCAGUCUUUCCCACCAAACCAUCUUUUCAGCCCACAUAAAAAUUUUCCAUGUUUUAUUUUAGCAAAAUCGCUCAUUGUAUUGGCAUGUAAUGAAGAUAUUCAUAUUAUUUAUCAGUGUGUGGAGGUAUAUACCUUUAAUCUUAGCAUUCAUAAGGCACAGUCAACGUGGAUUUCAAGGCUAGCCUCAUUUAUAUAGCAAGUUCCAACCAGAAUGAGGCCUGGGAGAUGGGGCGGCGGGGAGGGGGUUGUGGGGGAGAAUAUCAUUAUCUUCUAUUAUAAAAUGAUCUGAAUUUUAAAAAAUAUAUUAUCAUAAAUUAUAAAUUGAGCUGAAUGUAAAC
rnacentral:lncRNA from 1 species